UUAAGAUGAACGUCUACUCCACUGUAGGCUACGGAAAUUUUGAAGAGAACGAUCUUGAACUCUGAAGCUUUCCGAACACGUUGGGUGCUGAUCAGGCGCGGAAAAUGCAGUCGUAUCAAAAGCAGGACAAAUCGUUGUUGGAUUUACGCGAGUAAAUGAAAAUACGUUCAAGAUCAACAGCUGAAAUUAGCUUGUCCCAUCUAAACGUAUCAAGUUUGGCAUGAACUAUUACUAUCCGCUGGGCAUCUUUUAAGUCAAAAAAAGGCCGUCAGUUGACUGUAGGAGUUCCACAUGUCUAGAAGAAGCCUACAAAGGUGCUUUCGAUGUAGAACAGAGGUGCCUGCUAAAUUUGACCGCUACCUACGAUCAGCCUACGAGUUACAUUUUUCUCUAUUAUCAAUGGUAAAAACCGAAAUGACGUAGAGUUGGGCGCGUUCACCGUAGCAGAUUGUUAUCUAAGAUAGCACACUUGACUAUUAUAUAUAUACAAAUGAUAUACCUUAACGCUAUAAAUGCCCAGUUUCCGCCCAGCUCCGAUAAAAAAAUUCGUAAUUACAAAUAUCCCAGUGACCCGUUCUUUUAUAUAUAGAAAUCGUAUUUAUUGAAUUGCCUAUAUUUUGUCAGUCCCAUUUUUCCUUUAUCUUACGACAUGAUGCCCCGCAAGCUCAUGGUAGUAACAAUAUUUCGUGAUAAUGUGUCCGAUACAGUAUAUCUCAGCUCGUAUACAUGUAUGUAAUUACUAUAUUUGUAACUCGUGAAGAACUAUCUGACAAAGGUGAGUUUUUCUUGAGAAAAAGAAGCACUCUUUGAUUUUUUCCCACGACAACAACAUUUGAUGCCGGCCCGUUAUUAAUGAAAUGUACAUCCUGCUUUUGGCCUUUACCGACUUUUAACUGCUUAGUACUCAAUGGUUCCUUAUACCUGUCAUCCAGUGCCACUAAAAUAAAAUAGCACAUAAGUUGUUAGUUAAUCGUGUUAGUUCCUUAGUAUUUUCCUUCCGCUUUCCUUCGUCGUAGCUUCUAGUGUCGUUGUUUCGCUGACGUCACUUGCAUUCACUGUUGUUGCAACCGCUUCUCUAUCGGUAGAUGUCGUCGCUCUGGUAGUUGGACAGCCGGUCAGCGAGCUGUUCUAUGGCUGACGUAGCCUGCCUAGCACAGUCCAUGGUGGCAAAGGAAUAGAAGCUAUUCAUUCGUCAGAGGAGGAAGCAUGAAGCACAAGAAAGCACAUUCUUGGGACACAAGAAUAAGCGCGCAUGAAGGAUCAGAGAGGGUGUCUCCGAUUUGGUAAAUAUUUUAUCAGUUUUCACCUCCUUCCUGACCACAGCCGCAAAUGCCCUAUGUUCGAACAAGGGGCAUGUUGGGAAGGAGGCACGGUGCCCCAUCUACCUACGGAAGCGCUGGCUUUGCUGGGAGUCUCCCUGCUGAGGUGCACUACGAGAUAGCCGGAUUAGGCAAAGGCAGACUCAUCUUUACCAGUGGCUGUCUCGGCUCGCUUAUAAAAGUUCUAUAGUGUACUAGACGGCUAUUACGUUUCAGCAUACCUAACCUAAUGUUUGACCUUUUUCACCUUGACGUCUUACCUGCGUGUCGUGCUUGUGCGAAUGCAAUAUGUACACACAUGAUUUAACGCAGCGCGUCUCCUCGUUGCCUUAGCGGAAAAAGAAAUAAAAAUAGCAUGCAAAAUAUUCCUGUUUUAGAUAUCCUAGACUGUGCUAUCGACGCAUCGAUAUAGACGCACAGAUUGAACACUGAUCCGGCUCGCUAAUACCUGUUUCCUAUCGAGCCGCGCUGUAAUAUACGCGCCCUUUAAAACUCAAACUUACCAUAUAAACAAGCAAAAUCUGAAUGCGAGCAUUAGCUCACACAGCGCGAUUUUUACACAAAAAAAUUCGAAUUAUUCUCAGUUCAUCUCGAUACCUUAGCUUAAAGGCAUAUUCUAUGAGAAACCAUCUUGUAAGCCAUGGUCACCUCCUAUCAUUACUAUAAUCACUUCCUGGCAGCUUGUCCAUGCCAUGCGCGGGUGUAACUCCAACGAACAGCAGGCACCGCUAUUCCCGCCAUUGUGGAAACACUACCAGUAUACUGUGC